UUUUGUCGAUGCUAGAAGGAUAUUAAUAUUGUUUGAACAGUUCCAAGUUCCAGGGUGUGUACUUGUGAUUUAUUUAGUGCACAUCUAAACUACUAAUUUUGUUGUGACAACUCCAUGCAGUGGCACUGGAUGUUGAUGACCACCAAGUGUGGUUGAUUCGUGUUAGCAAACUUUUGACAUUAACAGGUAUUGUAUGCAGCAAGGAGCAUUUACAUAGCAUUGCGAGAAGAAAGUUGUAGCUACUGAUAACAAUAAUGCAUUAGAGGACUCACAUUUGUGUCAGCUAGGAUGGCGUGGUAAAUAAGAUCUCCCAUCCGAGUCACUUUAAUUCACGCGGUCACAAUUUUCGAAUCGUCACCCAACCAUGACCUAUUAUAGUGUAGAAAGAAGAAGUUGCAAGUGAGGAUUCCAGGCGAAGCGAGAGUACGGCCUUGGUGGCAUUAUUCUCUCCGAGCAGGCGCGUCCGAAGCUAAGUUGUACUGCCAUGGUUACUUCGUAAGGUUGAAGAUUGGUUGCAUCAUAUUCUGCUAAUUUAUAGGCCGGGUCCUGCUUUUGUACAUCAAGUAUUCUGCCUGGGUGCUAUUCACGUCCUCAUUAAUGUUGAUUCUUUUUUUUUUCAUAUUACCUUAUGGGACGAGCUUGAUUAUAGAAUGAUCUUGAUUAUGGGGUGAAAUUGAUUCUGGGCAAGUUUGACUGGGGCGUGAUUACAUUCCUUUUGGAAAUUAUGGGACGAUCUUGAUUAUAGGGCGAGAUUGAUUCUGGGCGAUUUCUGGUGCGAGUU